GCUAUGGGGCAGCUAUGGGGCGGGUGGGGGUUACGGCCCUAUGGGGCAGCUAUGGGGCAGAUGGGGGUCACCGCCCUAUGGGGCAGCUAUGGGGCAGCUAUGCAUCAUGGCCCUAUGGGGCAGCUAUGGGGCAGCUAUGGGGCGGGGUGGGGGUCACGUCCCUAUGGGGCAGCUAUGGGGCAGGUGGGGGUCACGGCCCUAUGGGGCAGCUAUGGAGAGGGUGGCAGUCACAGCCCUAUGGGGACAUCUAUGGGGCAGCUAUGGGGCAGGUGGGGGUCACGGCCCUAUGGGGACAGCUAUGGGGCAGCUAUGGGGCAGGUGGGGGUCACAGCCCUAUGGGGACAGCUAUGGGGCAGCUAUGGGGCAGGUGGGGGGGCACAGCCCUAUGGGGCAGCUAUGGGGCAGGUGGGGGUCACAGCCCUAUAGGGGCAGCUAUGGGGCAGCUAUGGGGGUCACAGCCCUAUGAGGACAGCUCUAUGGGGCAGAUCUAUGGGGCAGAUCUAUGGGGGCGGCCCUAUGGGGACAGAUGGGGGUCACAGCCCUAUGGGGCAGCUAUGGGGCAAAAUAUGGGUCACAGCCCUAUGGGGACAGCUCUAUGGGGCAGACCUAUGGGGGCGGCCCUAUGGGGACAGAUGGGGGUCCCAGCCCUAUGGGGACGGCCCUAUGGGGCAGCUGUGGGGGUCACAGCCCUAUGGGGACAGCCGUAUGGGGGUGGCCCUAUGGGGACAGAUGGGGGUCCCAUCCCUACGGGGCGCCCCCCACCCCCCCACUCCUGUCCUCCCCCCCCCCCCGCCCCACAUCCCCCAUUGACGCUGAUGGGCCCCGACACUUAUGGGUCGCGGUUACGUCACCCCGUGGGGCGGCGGCGUGGGGCCAAGUAGGGCACCCCCCGGAGCCCCCUUAAAAAUAGCCCAAAGCCCUCAUUAGCAAUUAGGGGGGAUUACCAAUUAGGGGCCCCACGGCGGGGCCGCCCCACGGCGGCUAUGGGGCGCUGCCCCCUAAUCCCCCCCCCCCCCCCACCCCAUAAUCCCGGAUUUUCGGGGUCGCUCCGGGGGAGUCCGAAUUGGGGGCAGCACUCCUAAUCUGCCCGCCGGGAAAAGGGGCGACGGCGGCCGUGGGGCGGAUGUGGGGCGGAUGUGGG
ensembl:lncRNA